GACGAACGCUGGCGGCGUGCCUAACACAUGCAAGUCGAACGAAGCUUGACGAACGAUUCUUCGGAUGAAUUCUGAUAUGACUGAGUGGCGGACGGGUGAGUAACGCGUGAGCAACCUGCCUACUAGAGGGAAAUAACAGUGAGAAAUCAUUGCUAAUACCGCAUAUGCCAUGAACAUCACAUGAUGAAAAUGGGAAAAGAGUAAUCUGCUAGUAGAUGGGCUCGCGUCUGAUUAGAUAGUUUGGUAGGGUAACGGCCUACCAAGACGACGAUCAGUAGCCGGGACCUGAGAGGUUGAACGGCCACAUUGGGACUGAGAUA
rnacentral:rRNA from 1 species